UACGAAGGGGGCUAGCGUUGCUCGGAAUCACUGGGCGUAAAGCGCACGUAGGCGGAUUGUUAAGUCAGGGGUGAAAUCCUGGAGCUCAACUCCAGAACUGCCUUUGAUACAGGCGAUCUCGAGUCCGGGAGAGGUGAGUGGAACUGCGAGUGUAGAGGUGAAAUUCGUAGAUAUUCGCAAGAACACCAGUGGCGAAGGCGGCUCACUGGCCCGGUACUGACGCUGAGGUGCGAAAGCGUGGGGAGCAAACAGG
rnacentral:rRNA from 1 species